rnacentral:misc_RNA from 1 species
CUGGUGUCCCCUCACAUGGGCCUUCAUAUGAUGAAGUCAAAAGUCAGAAAAAAAUACACUAAACACAAUACAAUAACCCAACAACUAAAAGAGCUAAACGAGGGAUUCUUUUUUAUUAAUUUGAUGCAGCAUUGACUAAUCUUAUAACAAGUAAAUGUAGCACUUCAAAUGUCCAAAUCAUAUAAGAAAGCAUGCAUCCACUGUUGAUUAGCAGCCAGCUGGAAACCACAUAGCCAACCAACUCUAAGACUCUAUUAUCCAUAAUGACAAUCUAUGUUCUUAAAGAAGAAACUUAGACAAAUUAUACGCUCACUCCAUUGUCUUCAACAAUGUUUUAUCUUAACUGAUAAUAAAAUAAGCCACUUUUCAAGUAGAACCACCAGACUGAACAGAGGCAAUAUGGAAUUACUGCUCAGACAAUUUCUUAAGUGAGA